rnacentral:rRNA from 1 species
AGAGUUUGAUCAUGGCUCAGAUUGAACGCUGGCGGCAGGCCUAACACAUGCAAGUCGAACGGUAACAUUUCUAGCUUGCUAGAAGAUGACGAGUGGCGGACGGGUGAGUAAUGCUUGGGAACUUGCCUUUGCGAGGGGGAUAACAGUUGGAAACGACUGCUAAUACCGCAUAAUGUCUUCGGACCAAACGGGGCUUAGGCUCCGGCGCAAAGAGAGGCCCAAGUGAGAUUAACUAGUUGGUAAGGUAACGGCUUACCAAGGCGACUAUCUCUACCUGUUCUGACAGGAACAUCAGCCACACUGGGACUGAAACACGGCCCAGACUCCUACGGGAGGCAGCAGUGGGGAAUAUUGCACAAUGGGGGAAACCCUGAUGCAGCCAUGCCGCGUGUGUGAAGAAGGCCUUCGGGUUGUAAAGCACUUUCAGUUGUGAGGAAAAGUUAGUAGUUAAUACCUGCUAGCCGUGACGUUAACAACAGAACAAGCACCGGCUAACUCCGUGCCAGCAGCCGCGGUAAUACGGAGGGUGCGAGCGUUAAUCGUGAAUUACUGGGCGUAAAGCGCACGCACGGCGGUUUGUUAAGCUAGAUGUGAAAGCCCCGGGCUCAACCUGGGAUGGUCAUUUAGAACUGGCAUACUAGAGUCUUGGA